rnacentral:rRNA from 1 species
UGAUACUAAGCCAUGCGAGUCAUUGAAGCAAUACAAGGCAUACGGCUCAGUAACGCGUAGUCAACCUAACCUAUGGACGGGAAUAACCUCGGGAAACUGAGAAUAAUGCCCGAUAGAACAUUAUGCCUGGAAUGGUUUAUGUUCCAAAUGAUUUAUCGCCGUAGGAUGGGACUGCGGCCUAUCAGUUUGUUGGUGAGGUAAUGGCCCACCAAGACUAUUACAGGUACGGGCUCUGAGAGGAGUAGCCCGGAGAUGGGUACUGAGACACGGACCCAGGCCCUAUGGGGCGCAGCAGGCGAGAAAACUUUGCAAUGUGCGAAAGCACGACAAGGUUAAUCCGAGUGGUUUCUGCUAAAGGAACCUUUUGUCAGUCCUAGAAACACUGAUGAAUAAGGGGUGGGCAAGUUCUGGUGUCAGCCGCCGCGGUAAAACCAGCACCUCAAGUGGUCAGGAUGAUUAUUGGGCCUAAAGCAUCCGUAGCCGGCUCUGUAAGUUUUCGGUUAAAUCUGUACGCUCAACGUACAGGCUGCCGGGAAUACUGCAAAGCUAGGGAGUGGGAGAGGUAGACGGUACUCGGUAGGAAGGGGUAAAAUCCUUUGAUCUAUUGAUGACCACCUGUGGCGAAGGCGGUCUACCAGAACACGUCCGACGGUGAGGGAUGAAAGCUGGGGGAGCAAACCGGAUUAGAUACCCGGGUAGUCCCAGCUGUAAACCAUGCAAACUCAGUGAUGCAUUGGCUUGUGGCCAAUGCAGUGCUGCAGGGAAGCCGUUAAGUUUGCCGCCUGGGAAGUACGUACGCAAGUAUGAAACUUAAAGGAAUUGGCGGGGGAGCACCACAAGGGGUGAAGCCUGCGGUUCAAUUGG